AGCAAGUGUAACACCUAUGAUGAAAGAAGUAAAGGGUAUUGUUAACAUCCCUCCUGAGAAGAGUACACAUCAUCCUGACAUGCCAAGAUCUGAAGUCAGUGGAAAUAACAGAGAUGUGGCACAAAACACAGCAAUCAAACAGCUGAAUGUUAAGAAACAACCUGAAGAGAAACUGAGGGCAGCAGCCCAAGCAGAGAAGCCCAGACCUUCCUCUCCCCUGUCACCUCCUCCAGCUUGUCUGGGAGAACACCAAGGCUUUCCCAGGCCAGCCAAGAGAUAUAAUCUCUCCAAUGUGUCCUGGGUUUGCCCCGGGGCCUCCUCCUGGUGGAACAUGGCCGGAACACCUCACCCGUCUAGGAGGCAUCUUUGUCAGACGCAUGAACCACCUCAGCUGGCUCCUUUCGAUGUGAAGGAGCAGCUGCUCUACUCUUAGACUCUCUUUCGUAGCCUUCUGCUACUUGGCUGUACCUAGAAAUUCUGUCCAUAAAAAUUACAAACAGAAUCAGUGACAUCACCCACAGGAACGAGUCCAACUUAUUACCGGCUAUGCGGACAAACCUCUUGCAACGGUUGUAUCAGGAUUGAAUGGCGGGUAGCAAUGGGCCAGAC
ensembl:lncRNA